AUUCGAAACGGCCUACUCGGGCUGUCCGUCGGGGUAGCCGCCCGGCGCUGAAGAGAUAGGCUAUA
rnacentral:hammerhead_ribozyme from 1 species